UACGUAGGGUGCAAGCGUUGUCCGGAAUUAUUGGGCGUAAAGAGCUCGUAGGCGGUUUGUCGCGUCGGCUGUGAAAACCUGGGGCUCAACCCCGGGCCUGCAGCCGAUACGGGCAAACUAGAAUUCGGUAGGGGAGACUGGAAUUCCUGGUGUAGCGGUGAAAUGACGCAGAUAUCAGGAGGAACACCGGUGGCGAAGGCGGGUCUCUGGGCCGAAAUUGACGCUGAGGAGCGAAAGCGUGGGGAGCAAACAGG
rnacentral:rRNA from 1 species